rnacentral:lncRNA from 1 species
CCCAGGGUUGCAGCCAGGUCUUCAGGUAAACAUUGUAAUUCAACAACCAUAUCCUCCUCUUCCUCAUCAGAUUCCACCAUUUCAAAUUUCCCUAGUUGUUCAGAGUAGUAAGCAAGGUGAAUUGAUAGAGGAGUGUCGUCAACAUGUUUAGCUAAGUUUUCUUUACACUCAGCCAUCUUCUUUUCCAGGUUUGGGGUAACACACAGCAACUCCUCAAUAAAUCCUUCAUGAUCAGAAUUGAACAUCAAUUCAGGCUGGUAAUCCACUGCAGAUAUUGCACCCGUGUGGAUACCCUUUUUCCACUAGAAGGGCCAUUAUCCUUAUCAGAAAAAAUUGCCUUAUCCAGAUCAUCAAUAGCGUCAUCUUCUUCACCCUCACUAGGGGGCCAUCUUAUCUUGCCCAAAAAGACCAUCUUCGUCUUCCUUGUUCAAUUCUCCAUCAUCUGAAUCAGGAUCACCUCCAUCUGAUUCCUCUCCCAUCUGUUCAUAACCCUCCACUACAAAGAACAUAAGGUAUAAUUUCUUCUUCACCUCGAAUAGUCUCUCAAAUGGGAUCUUAGAUGGGUCUCUGCAAGCCAACUUUAAUCCUGAUAUUUUCAUAGAAACUUUUAAAAAUGCCAUUCCAAUCCACAUCCAUAAGGAUACCAAAGCAAGAAGCAACUUGAGCAAAGACCUUCCAAGCACACCACUUGGGAGGGAUUCCAUCUAUUUGCACCUAAGCCUCUUUAAGUUCUCCAAACUCAUCCAACAUCCCUUCCCAGGUAAAGAUUUUAACAGACACACCAUCUAUN